rnacentral:lncRNA from 1 species
GGAGGCCACGCCCAAGAAACUCACACACAGGGGUUCAUUUUCUUAACUCUCUAACUCUUCAGCCCUCUACACCUGUAGGUUCCUUGGCUGAGGGAGCUCUUGGCUUGGAAAAUCCCGUCUUUCCUCCCAUCCUAUGACAGGUUCCAGGAAGGAGUCCCGAGCCCAUCUUGGCUAUUAUAGAGCAACAUGGCAACGAAUAUUGCACCAAAGGAGUUCACCUGUCCAAAUGGCUUUGUCUCCUAUCAGCUCAUUUGACUUUCUGCCCUUUUGGCUUGAAGAAAAUGCAAUUAGAAUCCCUUCUCUGGCCAAACAACAAAAUGAACAAAGUCCAGCCUUUGACCCUACCAACUCCAGGAGGAGUAUAGAGACUAUUGGUUUAAAUGAGCUGACCAGGGCCCGGAGCAAAGAUGUGUCCCUCUGCUGGAGAGUCAACCUGUUCAUUUCUGACUUACCCACCAUCCAGGCUGAGCAGGCAAAGUAA